ACCGCGAGCCAGAGCUGGAAGGUUGAUUACGUCAAAUUCAUGGCGCCAACUACGAUAAACAUUAGCAUUUGUCGAGCAGUGCGUUGUUUCCACGGGUUUUACGGAUAUUUUAGUGUACCUAGUGAAACAUACUAUUAGCAAAAUGACUGAAAAGGCCAAGGAGAUUCUGAAAAUGGACCUUUACGGUUUGCUUGGAAUUGAAAACACUGCUACAACGAAGGAGAUCAAGAAAGCCUAUCGACAGAAAGCUCUGACGUGCCAUCCAGACAAAAACCCAGACAACCCAAAAGCAGCUGAGCUUUUCCACCAGUUGUCCCAGGCUCUGGAGGUGCUUACUGAUACUCCUGCCAAGGCCGCCUAUGACAAGAUUUGCGCUGCCAAAAAACAAGCGGAAGAACGUAACCGCAAACUUGAUGACAAAAGAAAGAAGAUUAAGCUAGACCUUGAGACAAGAGAACGACAAGCAGAGGCUCAGACCCAAGUUGAAGUGCAAAUCACAAGAACACUUGAAGAAGAGAUAGCUCGUUUGAGGGAAGAGGGCUCCAGACAGCUUGAGGAAGAACAAAGGCUCAUCAGUGAGCAAAUCUUAAGAGAAAGAGAAGCUCAGCGGAACACAGGCUCUGGUGUCGAGAGAUGUUCCAGGACCAACGUCACCCCAAAACUAAAGUUAAAGUGGAAGUGUAAAAAAGAUGAAGAAACAAAUGGAGGCUACUGUCAAGAGUUCAUUUUCAAACUUCUACAAAAGUAUGGAGAUGUUUUGAAUGUGAUCAUAUCAAGUAAGAAGAGAGGAAGCGCUGUGGUAGAAUAUGCAACUGUAAAGGCAGCCGAACUGGCUGUGAGGAAUGAAAGCGGCCUGAGUGAAAACCCAUUGAAGAUUUCCUGGCUUGAGGGACAGCCGGAAGUUUCUUCUGCAUCUGAAUUCAAGUCUGCACAGGGCUCUCUAUCCAAUGAGCGCGACUAUGAAAGUGUGGUGAUGAUGAAGAUGAGGCAGGCUGCUGAGCGUCAGCGGCUCAUUGAUCAAAUGCAGAAGGAAGAUGAGGAAGAUGCUGCCAUGUCCUAAUGCUAUAGGACCUGGCCGGGCUCCGGUCUGCAACCAGUAUACGGGACAUCUGGUUUAAGUAAAGAAGUGAGAGUUCUGGUAGGAUUCAGAGGAAAUGUGACUUUCUCUUGGGACGGCGUGGCGCAGUGGGGAGAGUGGCCGUACACAACCCGAGCGUCCCUGGUUCAAUUCCCACCUAGUACCAACCUCGUCACGUCCGUUGUGUCCUGAGCAAGACACUUCACCCUUGCUCCUGAUUGGUGCUGGUUGGCUCCUUGCAUGGCAGCUCCCUCCAUCAGUGUGUGAAUGUGUGUGUGAAUGGGUAAAUGUGGAAGUAGUGUCAAAGCGCUUUGAGUACCUUGAAGGUAGAAAAGCGCUAUACAAGUACAACCCAUUUAUUUAUUUACAAAUAAAGUAUCUAUCUAUGUUAUUUUGGCAUAUUGUGGGAUCUGAGCCAAGGAUGUUGUUGUGGCUUGUGCAGCCCUUUGAGACACUUGUGAUUAAGGACUAUAUAAAUGAACUUUGAUUGAUUGAUUGAUAUUCUGAAGCGCAAUUCAGCUUAACUCAAGGUACAUCCAUCCAUCCAUCCAUUUCUACCGCUUAUUCCCUUUUGGGGUCGUGGGGGGCGCUGGUGCCUAUCUCAGCUACAAUCGGGCGGAAGGCGGUGUACACCCUGGACAAGUCACCACCUCAUCGCAGGGCCAACACAGAUAGACAACAUUCACAUUCACACACUAGGGCCAAUUAAGUGUUGCCAAUCAACCUAUCCCCAGGUGCAUGUCUUUGGAAGUGGGAGGAAGCCGGAGUACCCGGAGGGAAACCACGCAUUCACGGGGAAAAGAUGCAAACUCCUCACAGAAAGAUCCCGAGCCAGGGAUUGAACCCUGACUACUCAGGACCUUCGUAUUGUGAGGCAGACGCACUAACCCCUCCGCCACCGUGAAGCCCUACUCAAGGUACAAUUCCAGCAAAAUAACAUCAGUAGAAGAGAACGUGAAUUAGCAUGCUACACUUCUGUGUUUACAAUAUGAAUAUUAUUUAGCUUCAUAAUGUAGCUACUGGUGUGUAAACUCCAAGCCAAAGAGGAACCGCAAAAUGGUUAAACCACCGCAUCCACAGAGGUGAUAAUGGUAUUGGUAUAUCUGUCCAAGAAGGAAUCACAAAGUAUAGGUGACACCACCGGGUUAAAAAGUGGCGAAAACUUGUACAACACAAUGUAGAGUAUAUGUGUUUGCAAAUUCUGACUUAAAUCAUUCUUCCUGGAAGGGUAUUUUGCAAAUUGUUUCAAAGUCUGCACAAAAAUAACACUAUUUCAGGAUUAGGAUGCUAACAAAACACACACUAUGCAAUAUAAAUUCAAUCUAGUCUUUUGUAGGCGACGUCAGCAGGCUGAUGAUGCAGGCCCACCCACAUUUUUGAGCUGAGAGUGGCGGUUCCAAAAUGUGGCGAAACUUACCAGAAGACAUUCCUAAAAUCACUGUGUCAAUUUUGGGGGACAUUUAGCCUGUAGACAUCACUUUUCGGUCCUGCACUUUGAAGUGAGUACCAAAGUUGUCAGCAUUAGUGAGGGUCCUUUAAUGUUGUAUAACACAACAAAGCUACAUUGAAUCUGUUGCAUUUUCUGUUUUGCAUGUUAGUUGGCGACUUGUCCAGGGUGUGCGCCACCUUCCGCCCGAAUGUAGCUGAGAUAGGCUCCAGCGUACCCCCUCACCCCCUCCUGCAACCCCGAAAGGGACAAGCGGUAGUAAAUGGAUGGAUGGAUGUUAGUUACUCAUAAAGCUUCCACAACUCUGUUUGAAAGUUAAGUUAAGUUAAGCAGUGCUAGCCACUGAGCUAAAAAGUACAGUCGCACAGCCACACUAACUGCCUUCUGUUACACUACUCAAGUUUGGUUUCACCUGCAGGCAUCUGGCAGGUGCACAUCCUAAUCCUCAAAUAAGACUGUCUAUAAAUAGAUGUUCCAAGUAUUAGAGAGAAUAAUGUCGCUUGAGUUGUGUGUUAACAAAAGAAACAAGGGAUAAUAAAACGUAUUGACUGUAUUAGCUUUUAAUUCCACGGAUUUAUGAUAGUGUGCUUAUAACUCAUGUUUAUGCAUCUGCAGUAUUGUUCAAGUAUACACUGAUAAAUAAUCAAUGUUGCACAGUACCUCCAAGAUAAAGUGCAACAUUUUUUUUAAAUUAAUA